rnacentral:rRNA from 1 species
CAGUAGCCGCGGUAAUACGUAGGUGGCAAGCGUUGUCCGGAAUUAUUGGGCGUAAAGGGCUCGCAGGCGGUUUCUUAAGCCUGAUGUGAAAGCCCCCGGCUCAACCGGGGAGGGUCAUUGGAAACUGGGAAACUUGAGUGCAGAAGAGGAGAGUGGAAUUCCACGUGUAGCGGUGAAAUGCGUAGAGAUGUGGAGGAACACCAGUGGCGAAGGCGACUCUCUGGUCUGUAACUGACGCUGAGGAGCGAAAGCGUGGGGAGCGAACAGGAUUAGAUACCCCUGUAGUCCCUGUCUCUUAUAC